rnacentral:rRNA from 1 species
AGAGUUUGAUCAUGGCUCAGAACGUACGCUGGCGGCACGCCUAAUACAUGCAAGUCGAACGAAGUAGCAAUACUUAGUGGCAGACGGGUGAGUAACAUGUGGGUAUCUUCCCUUUGGUGAGGAAUAACACGAGGAAACUUGUGCUAAUACCUCAUAAGUCUUUACGGAGAAAGCUUUAUGCGCCAAUGGAUGAGCCCGCACUUGAUUAGUUUGUUGGUGGGGUAAUGGCCUACCAAGACAAUGAUCAAUAGCUGAUUUGAGAGGAUGAUCAGCCACAUUGGGACUGAGACACGGCCCAAACUUCUACGGAAGGCAGCAGUAGGGAAUCUUGCACAAUGGAGGAAACUCUGAUGCAGCGAUGCCGCGUGAGUGAAGAAGGCCUUUGGGUUGUAAAGCUCUUUCGUCGGGGAAGAAAAUGACUGUACCCGAAUAAGAAGGUCCGGCUAACUUCGUGCCAGCAGCCGCGGUAAUACGAAGGGACCUAGCGUAGUUCGGAAUUACUGGGCUUAAAGAGUUCGUAGGUGGUUGAAAAAGUUGGUGGUGAAAUCCCAGAGCUUAACUCUGGAACUGCCAUCAAAACUUUUCAGCUAGAGUAUGAUAGAGGAAAGCAGAAUUUCUAGUGUAGAGGUGAAAUUCGUAGAUAUUAGAAAGAAUACCAAUUGCGAAGGCAGCUUUCUGGAUCAUUACUGACACUGAGGAACGAAAGCAUGGGUAGCGAAGAGGAUUAGAUACCCUCGUAGUCCAUGCCGUAAACGAUGUGUGUUAGACGUUGGAAAUUUAUUUUCAGUGUCGCAGCGAAAGCGAUAAACACACCGCCUGGGGAGUACGACCGCAAGGUUAAAACUCAAAUGAAUUGACGGGGACCCGCACAAGUAGUGGAGCAUGUGGUUUAAUUCGAAGAUACGCGCAGAACCUUACCAACACUUGACAUGUUCGUCGCGACUCUAAGAGAUUAGAGUUUUCGGUUCGGCCGGACGAAACACAGGUGCUGCAUGGCUGUCGUCAGCUCGUGUCGUGAGAUGUUGGGUUAAGUCCCGCAACGAGCGCAACCCUCACUUUUAGUUGCCAUCAUUAAGUUGGGCACUCUGAAAGAACUGCCAGUGAUAAGCUGGAGGAAGGUGGGGAUGACGUCAAGUCCUCAUGGCCCUUACGUGUUGGGCUACACACGUGCUACAAUGGUAUCUACAACAGGAAGCAAAACUGCGAGGUUAAGCAAAUCCUUAAAAGAUACCUCAGUUCGGAUUGCACUCUGCAACUCGAGUGCAUGAAGCUGGAAUUACUAGUAAUCGUGGAUCAGCGUGCCACGGUGAAUGCGUUCCCGGGUCUUGUACACACCGCCCGUCACACCAUGGGAGUUGGUUCUACCUUAAGGCAAGGUUUAAAACCCUUGACCACGGUAUAGUCAGCGACUGGGGUGAAGUCGUAACAAGGUAGCCGUA